AUCUCAGUCUCUGUUUCAGUGCAGACUACAGAUUUAUAGAUAGGCUCUUAGGCAAAAUGGCCAUGCAAGACUCCCCUCCUUUGUGAACCCUCGUCCUCCUCUAACUCCACUAUCACCUGGGUAGAAAGCCUAGAGCAGAAGGUGGCAAGUUUCCCCAUCUAAAGAAAUGUCAUCUGGGAAACAGCAUACAGUACUUUUCACCACAGCAAAGGAAGGAGGCAGAAACCAAAAUGUGUUGCUUCGAACCUUCUGUUUGUUGGACACUUAUACGUGUGUGUGUGUGUGUGUGUGUGUGUGUGUGUGUGUGUGUGUUGAAACACCCCUUGUGCCCUCUAGUGGCCUUAGGUAGCAAUUGCACCAUUUUUGGCUGCCCCUAAGUGAUUUCUCCUUCAGGGGAAAAAAGCUAUCUUUGGCCUACAAGUUGGUGAAAUUUUCCCCUUAAACCUCCCCCCAGAGGCAUCAAGAGUACUUAGAGAAAAGCCACAAACUUACAGUGGGGCUGAGGCCUUGGACACUGCCAUGAGGCCCCCGGGAAGCUGAUGUGCCACACUUGCCUAUAUCCAUCUGAGAGGGAAAACAUUCCACAAAGGAUACUGCUCUGUAGAGGAGAAGACCAUAAUUCAGUGGCGUCUCAUUAAAAGGUUGAGAUAAAAAGGAAUCUGACUGACAUCUCUUUAAUGUGUAAAGCAGCUGCCUAUGCUCAUGUUAUUUGUCAGAGCAUUCCCAUCAAGAGAUUGCAGGUGAGCAGGCAACGGUCACAAGGAACAGUGGUCGAAGAACCAGGGGUCUUCAUGAAUGGCAGCAGUUUCCUUGCAAAGAGCCUUACUAAGGGAUCCUGCUCAGCCUCAAGAUGUGUGCCUCAGACCUAGCAUGAUGAACCUCUGCUGCUGCAACACAUGCAAGGUGGGGCCCACCCUGACAGACAGUAUGAAGCUUCUAGAGCAUAGAGCUUGCCUUACCCCUUUACCUGGUCAGAGAAGAGGAGACGCCACAGAUCAGCAAUCACACAGGCACUCUAUAUGCAGAUGGACUGCAGUUCCGUUCAAGGAAUCUCCAGAGGAAAGGAUCAAGAAGGGAGUCAGGGACCUCUGCCUGAGAACCUGAUAAUCAACUGAACAGGCUUGGUUAAAUGGCUUUGGUGUUUAGAUGUUUCCCUGGCUAAAUUCUGGAUCAAGCCAUGCAAACUGAAACACACACCAUGCAUAAUUCUAUUUGUUCAGAAUAGUCCCAGCACAAUACAUUACAGGUGUCCAUGUUGGUAUGUAGGUGUGUGUGAGAGAGAGAGACAGAGAGAGAAGAGGGGUGAGCGUAUCCAAGCUCACUUUGACCCUUUCCAUGUUUGAAAAAUGAGCACCCACCUCUGGCACAGAGUCUCUGAAAGUUUAGCCACAAAGGAAUGUGCUGUUUGGCAAAAUAAAACAAAAGUAAAGUAAAUCA
rnacentral:lncRNA from 1 species